UUAGAUUUUAUUUAUUAAUUUUAGUUGUAUUUAUAUUAAUAGUAUUAAAAAUAAUUAUAUAAUAAGAUGUUAUAGUAUUUUUUAAAGAACUAAUAAAUUUAAUAAUAGUUAAAUAGUAUUGUAAAAGAAAAUUGAAAUAUUUGAAAAAUAUUUAUUUUAAAAGAAAAUUUUAUUUAUUGUACCUUGUGUAUCAGUGUUUAUUAAAUAAAAAAUAAUUAAAUUUAUUUUUCUCGAUUUUAAAAGAGUUAAUAUAAUAUAAAAGUUAAUGUAAUAAAAUUAUUUUAAAUAUUAUAUUAGAAAUGAAAUGUUAUUCGUUUUUAAAGGUAUCUAGUUUUUCAAGAAAUGAAUUAAAUUUAGAAAUUAUUAAUUUACUUUAUUAUUUGUUUAAUAAAUUAAUAAAUAAUUUUAAUAUUUUAUGGGAUAAGCUAUAAAAUAAAUUUUUAAAAAUAAUAAAUAAAUUUAUUAAAUAUAUGUUUAGAAAUAGCAAUUAUUAAUAAAAAUGUUAUAAUUUAUUUUAUAAAUUAUAUUAUUUAUUAAAUUUUAAUUAAUUAUUGAAAUUUUAAUUUAAAUUUUUAAAAUUAAGUAAUAAUGAUAAAAUUAGUAUAUUAUUUUGUAAAAUUAAAA
rnacentral:rRNA from 1 species